UACGUAGGGUGCGAGCGUUAAUCGGAAUUACUGGGCGUAAAGCGUGCGCAGGCGGUUCGUGAUGUCUGGUGUGAAAGCCCCGGGCUUAACCUGGGAAUUGCAUUGGAAACUAGCGGGCUGGAGUGUGGCAGAGGGGGGUGGAAUUCCCCAAGUAGAGGUGAAAUUCGUAGAUAUUCGCAAGAACACCAGUGGCGAAGGCGGCUCACUGGCCCGAUACUGACGCUGAGGCACGAAAGCGUGGGGAGCAAACAGG
rnacentral:rRNA from 1 species